rnacentral:lncRNA from 1 species
GGAAAAAAACAAAACCAAAAAAAGUAAUAAAUUACUCUUUCAGGAAGGCAUAUCAAUGGACCACAAACCCAAGACCCAGAGAUGCAUUAAAGAGAAAUACAGGUGUCCAGAAUGAGUACAGAAUAUAUGAAAAUGAAGAACAUUUGCUUGGCCAAAAACAUCAUAGAAGAUCACAUGAUGACACACAAGAAAUGUGAUUCUGCAGAACUGCAAAAUCUGGAGAAGAUCAUGAAAAUUCAUAAAGAAUUGAUAAAAAGAAGAGAAAAUAUGAUGGAUAUUCCUGAAGAAGCUGUAUCAGUAGGGGAGUUUCUAUUACAAGUAACUGGAAAGUUGCUCAUAAAAAGAUGUCCUCAAAGCACUGGAAAUGGUAGCCGCUCAAACCUUCCACAAGUGUAUUGCAACAAGAAUGAAGAUAUGUGCAGAGAACAUAGAGGUGGCAGAAAGAAGGCAGCUGACAGUGCCACAGAACAUGCCAGCAAAAGGUGUCUUGAAGGAGAUGAAGGCCUGUAUUGCUCAAUUUUAACUGCACCCCAUUUUAGUUCCGGGCAUUUCCCUGACCAUGGAGGACCUUCUCCUGACACAGGAAGGACACUUCUCAGGGCAACCCCUGCUGUGUUCACAGCUCCCUGGAUGAGAAGAGGUUGCUGCUUUAUCUUGGCUUAGCUAUUCCAGAAACACUUAACAGAAUGGUGACUUCCCUGUCAUUGCAUUAUAUAGAUCUUGUGUGUAUGGUACAAGCAGGAACACUUUGAAAGAGAAGUUAGAAAAUGUCAUGUGUAUUGUAUACUAUAAAAAUGUCAGUUUAUCUUGCAUGUAUUUUUAAUGAUAGUCACUUUCUAACUUUCUUUUUGUUUGAUACAAACAGUAAACUUGUUC